GACAGAGGGUGCAAACGUUGUUCGGAAUUACUGGGCGUAAAGCGCGUGUAGGCUGCUCUGCAAGUCGGGUGUGAAAGCCCCCGGGCUCAACCUGGGAAGUGCACUCGAAACUGCAGAGCUUGAGUCUUGGAGAGGAAGGCGGAAUUCUCGGUGUAGAGGUGAAAUUCGUAGAUAUCGAGAGGAACACCAGUGGCGAAGGCGGCUAUCUGGACGGUUUCUGACGCUA
rnacentral:rRNA from 1 species